rnacentral:rRNA from 1 species
CAACGUAAACAACCUGCCUUCAGGAUGGGGACAACAGACGGAAACGACUGCUAAUACCGAAUACGUUCCACGGGCCGCAUGACCUGUGGAAGAAAGGGUAGCCUCUACCUGUAAGCUAUCGCCUGAAGAGGGGUUUGCGUCUGAUUAGGCAGUUGGUGGGGUAACGGCUCACCAAACCAACGAUCAGUAGCCGGUCUGAGAGGAUGAACGGCCACACUGGAACUGAGACACGGUCCAG